rnacentral:rRNA from 1 species
UUAAAUUGAAGAGUUUGAUCAUGGCUCAGAUUGAACGCUGGCGGCAGGCCUAACACAUGCAAGUCGAACGGUAACAGGAAGCAGCUUGCUGCUUUGCUGACGAGUGGCGGACGGGUGAGUAAUGUCUGGGAAACUGCCUGAUGGAGGGGGAUAACUACUGGAAACGGUGGCUAAUACCGCAUAACGUCGCAAGACCAAAGAGGGGGACCUUCGGGCCUCUUGCCAUCAGAUGUGCCCAGAUGGGAUUAGCUUGUUGGUGAGGUAACGGCUCACCAAGGCGACGAUCCCUAGCUGGUCUGAGAGGAUGACCAGCCACACUGGAACUGAGACACGGUCCAGACUCCUACGGGAGGCAGCAGUGGGGAAUAUUGCACAAUGGGCGCAAGCCUGAUGCAGCCAUGCCGCGUGUAUGAAGAAGGCCUUCGGGUUGUAAAGUACUUUCAGCGGGGAGGAAGGUGUUGUGGUUAAUAACCGCAGCAAUUGACGUUACCCGCAGAAGAAGCACCGGCUAACUCCGUGCCAGCAGCCGCGGUAAUACGGAGGGUGCAAGCGUUAAUCGGAAUUACUGGGCGUAAAGCGCACGCAGGCGGUCUGUCAAGUCGGAUGUGAAAUCCCCGGGCUCAACCUGGGAACUGCAUUCGAAACUGGCAGGCUUGAGUCUUGUAGAGGGGGGUAGAAUUCCAGGUGUAGCGGUGAAAUGCGUAGAGAUCUGGAGGAAUACCGGUGGCGAAGGCGGCCCCCUGGACAAAGACUGACGCUCAGGUGCGAAAGCGUGGGGAGCAAACAGGAUUAGAUACCCUGGUAGUCCACGCCGUAAACGAUGUCUACUUGGAGGUUGUGCCCUUGAGGCGUGGCUUCCGGAGCUAACGCGUUAAGUAGACCGCCUGGGGAGUACGGCCGCAAGGUUAAAACUCAAAUGAAUUGACGGGGGCCCGCACAAGCGGUGGAGCAUGUGGUUUAAUUCGAUGCAACGCGAAGAACCUUACCUGGUCUUGACAUCCACGGAAGUUUUCAGAGAUGAGAAUGUGCCUUCGGGAACCGUGAGACAGGUGCUGCAUGGCUGUCGUCAGCUCGUGUUGUGAAAUGUUGGGUUAAGUCCCGCAACGAGCGCAACCCUUAUCCUUUGUUGCCAGCGAUUAGGUCGGGAACUCAAAGGAGACUGCCAGUGAUAAACUGGAGGAAGGUGGGGAUGACGUCAAGUCAUCAUGGCCCUUACGACCAGGGCUACACACGUGCUACAAUGGCGCAUACAAAGAGAAGCGACCUCGCGAGAGCAAGCGGACCUCAUAAAGUGCGUCGUAGUCCGGAUUGGAGUCUGCAACUCGACUCCAUGAAGUCGGAAUCGCUAGUAAUCGUGGAUCAGAAUGCCACGGUGAAUACGUUCCCGGGCCUUGUACACACCGCCCGUCACACCAUGGGAGUGGGUUGCAAAAGAAGUAGGUAGCUUAACCUUCGGGAGGGCGCUUACCACUUUGUGAUUCAUGACUGGGGUGAAGUCGUAACAAGGUAACCGUAGGGGAACCUGCGGUUGGAUCACCUCCUUACCUGAAAGAAGC